rnacentral:lncRNA from 1 species
UGAUGUCAACCAUUCAGGGGCUAGAUAACCAGGUGUGCCUCUCAUUCUUGUAACCACUUGACUCAUAUCCCUAUCAAUGAGCUUGCAUAGUCCAAAAUCGGAAAGUUUAGCAUUGAAGUCAUCAUCUAAGAGGAUAUUUUGUGGCUUGACAUCCAAAUGAGCAAUUCUCUUCAUGCAAUCCUCAUGAAGAUAAGACAGACCCUUAGCUAUGUCAGCGAUAAUCUUGCAUCGCACCCUCCAUUCUAACGGAGGAGCACUAUUUUCAUGUCGACCAUAGAUCCACCUGUCCAAGGAUCCUUUUGGCAUAUACUCAUAAACCAAGAGCCUAUGGGAUUUCUCUGCACAGAAGCCAAACAGCCUCACCAGAUUGAUAUGAUGAAUGCUACCGAUUGUCUGAACCUCCGCCAAGAAUUCUCUCUUUCCCUGACCAGCUCGAUCCAAACGUUUUACCGCAAUCCUUUCCUCGCCUAGCUGCCCUUCGAAAACAGACCCAAAUCCUCCUUCCCCGAGCUUGUCCUUGAAUUGCUCUGUUGCUGCUUCUAACUGUUGAAACGUAAACCUCAUUGGUGUUCCUUGUAGCUGAUCAAACUCUGCCUCCUCAUCUGUCAUCUCAUGGUGUCGUCGUGUUCCUCUUCGACGUAUGAUGAAAAAGAUGAAUGUGACGAUUAUUAAACCUAUGGCACCUGCAAUUGCAACUGAAACAGAAGUGCCUAUUGAGGGUCCUUUGCGUAGUGGCCUAAGAUCAGCUGAGUUAGGAGGACUUGGAGGUGAAGACGUUAGAUUGACCGGUGGGCAGAAGAUGACCUGGUAGUCGGUAUCAAAUGGGCAGCUGAAUGAAGUAUCUGUGGCAGCAUCACUGGAGUAGCUUAUUGCCUCCGGGCACAUCCGCACAAAGAAGGCCGAGUAUUUGUUGGAUUCACAAUUUCUCUCGCAGCAGUACAUAUAAUUAUUCUGCUCCUGGAACACUGUACAUGCGCUGUUGCAGCCUCCCGGUGCCUUGAGCUCGCUCGGACACUGUGACGUGAUGUUGGCCCCACAGUGGGGCCCCUUUCUGCACCCUGGUCCUCCUUGUCCCUUGACCGGCAUUGGCAGGAACUCCAUGGGUACAUUGAAGCCCUGGUAGAGGGAGAUGCCGAAGAAACUGUUGUUGUUGUACUGGUUGAGCGAGAAUUGAGCAGACGUGUAGGGUGGUUGACCAUCUCCCUUGCAGGUGAGCAAGCCUUGGCAGUCGCCUGUCUGGCAUGACCCGUGGCCUUUGCCGUCAAACGAGCAGCCUGUGCGUGCCCACACGCUUCCUCCACGGGUGGCAUAGGGCACCUUGAGGGUCCAUGUCUUGCCAGGCUGCAGCCGCCUGCCGCCGCCCACCGGGAAAGCGGCCGGCCAUACGGUGUAGGGGCAUCGGUUGGUGAUGUUGAGUAUGGUUUGGGAUUGGGUGGUGAUGACUGGCAGGAGGAGCAGGAGGCGGAGGAGGAAGAGCAGGUGGAGAGUCAGGGAGAUACCUCUAACUGCCAUUAGUGCCGUCUGCUAACAGGACUCCUCUUGGGUGAGAUGAUAACGGAGGAAGAGAUGCCUACAUUAGUGUACUUGUCUAAUAUGUGCGUGUUGAAUAAUUCAACGGUCAACAUACAACAGCCUGACAUGAGAACUGUUUGAUAGGACCAGACUUGAUUGUGGAACUUGUCUGCUUACAAAUCACUUAUACUAGCAAGAUGCUCAUGCGUUGCACAGAACAUCAAGAUGCAUUUGUAUGAAUAGUUUAUCUUGUGGGACAAAAGGAUGAACGAGGGAAGGCCUAUUUGUAAAUGUGGAGAGGGGUGUGGGUAUCUUUUUGCAAAAUUGCCAUAGUUUCCUUCCUAUCCGCCAGAUAUAAAUCAGACAGCCUAUAUUGUAGGAUGGCAGGCACACCAUCAUCACCAACUCUGUUUUUUAUAAUCACUUAUAUAUUUGUGCGUCUUCCAAAAAGGAGGAAUUGCAUCUGUACAUCCGUAGAAUUAACGUGUUUGAUGAUUUUGGCUGCAAGGAAUAUGCACACACGGUGCCAAAUCUGAGCAAAUAUUACAUAUGUGUUUUCACAUGAAUAAAACAGGCUGUUUGGUAAAUUUCACCAUCAGAGCGUUGGCUUUUUUUUUGUGUGUGUUCACAUAGAGUAUUUUAGAAAUUUGUUGGGUUGCAUGACUCUCUUCCUUCCUGAUGAUCCGCUCCAUGCUUUCUUGCGACAGAAACGGUCAAGAGUGAAGACCACCUCUUCUACAAGUGUGAUACACAGUCAGAUUGUGGGAAAUGAUAAAAGGGAUGGCUACAGCUAGGACAUCUCGACGCCUCCACUUGGCAUCUCUUCCAGUCCACCAACUAUUGGUGGGUGAGUCAAUCUGACAACAACAUUCCAAACCGGAAGGCGAUGGCUUCAUUAACCAUGCUUAUCUCUUGGACAAUUUGGAAUGAAAGAAAUGCACGCGUCUUCCUUCAAAAAAGCGCCCCGCCGAUGGUCCUGCUUAGCAAUAUCAAGGUUGAGGCGGCGGUUUGGGUCAGGUGCCAAACACUUGGGUACUAUGAUGCCAGGAGAGUAAUGACUUUUGUAUUGACGGUGUGUUGUAAUGCCUUACUGUAACACAACAAACUCUAUUCUCUUUUAAUUAAUAGAUGAAGCAAAUCUUUUACCUUCGUUUCAAAAAAAAAAGUGAAGACCACUUUGCAAAAUGUAGCUGGUGGUUGGGGUCAAGCUGAAGCUGACAGCGGUGG